rnacentral:rRNA from 1 species
GACGAACGCUGGCGGCGUGCUUAACACAUGCAAGUCGAACGGUGAUGCUCCAGCUUGCUGGAGUGGAUCAGUGGCGAACGGGUGAGUAACACGUGAGCAACCUGCCCCAGACUCUGGAAUAAGCGCUGGAAACGGCGUCUAAUACUGGAUACGAAACUGGCCCGCAUGGGCAUGGUUUGGAAAGUUUUUCGGUUUGGGAUGGGCUCGCGGCCUAUCAGCUUGUUGGUGAGGUAAUGGCUCACCAAGGCGACGACGGGUAGCCGGUCUGAGAGGGCGACCGGCCACACUGGGACUGAGACACGGCCCAGACUCCUACGGGAGGCAGCAGUGGGGAAUAUUGCACAAUGGGCGAAAGCCUGAUGCAGCGACGCCGCGUGAGGGAUGACGGCCUUCGGGUUGUAAACCUCUUUCAGCAGGGAAGAAGCGAAAGUGACGGUACCUGCAGAAGAAGCACCGGCUAACUACGUG